CGGGCUCCGUCUGUUUUUCUUCGCUUUUCUCCUCCUCCUCCUCCUCUUUCUCCUCCUCUCCUCGCUCCUUUUCGUUUUCUUCCUCCUCCCCUUCCCACUGCCCCUCCUGCUUCUCUUCUCCGUCCUCCUCCUCCACCACCUCCUUUUUCGUGUCUUUUUUUUUUCUUUCAAAGGGGGCCUCGGCGUGGCGGCCGCUCCCCCUGCGCGCCCGGGCGCGCGGCCCCCUCCCCAGGCUGCCGGGCCGCUGCCUGCAGGAAUUUACAAUCCGGCGCUGGGGGAGCGGGCCCGGUCUCCAUGGAGACGGCUUCCCCGGGAGCAGGGAGGUCAGGCGCAGACCGCGCACAAUCAAUGGAUCAAUGCAAGCCCCUGCUCCGCUCCAGACCAAACAGCACCGGGGCUCCGGCUGGUCCGCUCUCCCCGUGGGGAGCUAGCGGGGGAGUCGAGGGUGCGCCCCCCCACCCCGCCGCGCGCGCUCGCACGCCAGGAGGGCCGAGCGGAGCAGCUUUCUCAAAGGCGAAACCAAUCCAGUGACAAUCUAUCACUUGACUGGUAAUAGAGUCUGCUGGAGAGCAGGUAGAAGCCAGAGGGACUGUCACCACCAUCGCCAAGCUCUAUCUCACCUAUCUAUCUCACCUGGAGAGUUAAUCGCCUCUUGGAAUCUCAGCUGACCAGUGACAGUGCCUCUCAAGACAAGGCAUACAUGGGCCCCUGAUGCCCUGAGCUGUGGACUUAAAUGACUGCAAAGGUCAAAUCUCAGCCCAGUUGCUUAGUGUGUGUGUGUGUAUACAUGUGGCCAGAGGUCAACAUCCAGUGUCUUCUUAUUAACCUUAUUUUAUAUUUUAUUUACCUCUUUUGUUUUUCAAGACAGGGUUUCUCUGUGUAGCCCUGGCUGUCCUGGAACUCUCUCUAUAGACCAGGCUGGCCUCAAACUCACAGAGAUCCGCCUGCCUCUGCAAUGCUGCUUCCCAAGGCGUGCGCCACCACCGCCACCAGGCUCCACCUUAUUUUUUGAGCCAGAGUCUCACUGAAUCUGGAGCUCACCUACUACCAGCGGGUCUCAGGGACCCUCCUGCCUCUGCAGAGCCGGGCUGUGGGUGUGGGCUGCAGCACCUGGCCCCUCACAUGGUUUCUGUAGAAGACCCAGGUCCUCAGUUGACGAAGCAAGCCUAGACCAUCUGAGCUGUCCCCUCAGCUCUCAACCCUGGCAUCUGCGUCUUAGCUACCUGUAUGACUUCCGAUCAGCUAUGUUUGCUCCUCUGACCUCACAGGUUCAUAGCAUUAGUUCAGUGCAAUGAUGUGUAGAAAACACCGGCACGGAGCACAUGCUAGAUGGACGCCAUGGCUGCUCCUUUCACUUCUUGGCAGGAACAAAGGGCUACGGUGUUGGAUGGGUAUAGGGCAUAGCCAGGCCUGGGACAAAGCAGCCUUGGGUCAGGCCAGGCUCUGGGGCUUGGGGU
rnacentral:lncRNA from 1 species